GAUGAACGCUGGCGGCGUGCCUAAUACAUGCAAGUCGAGCGAACAGACGAGGAGCUUGCUCCUCUGACGUUAGCGGCGGACGGGUGAGUAACACGUGGAUAACCUACCUAUAAGACUGGGAUAACUUCGGGAAACCGGAGCUAAUACCGGAUAAUAUAUUGAACCGCAUGGUUCAAUAGUGAAAGACGGUUUUGCUGUCACUUAUAGAUGGAUCCGCGCCGCAUUAGCUAGUUGGUAAGGUAACGGCUUACCAAGGCAACGAUGCGUAGCCGACCUGUGAGGGUGAGCGGCCACACUGGAACUGAGACACGGGCCAGACUCCUACGGGAGGCAGCAGUAGGGAGUCUUCCGCAAUGGGCGAGAGCCUGACGUAGCAACGCCGCGUGAGUGAUGAGGGUCUUCGGAUCGUAAAACUCUGUUAUGAGGGAAGAACAAAUGUGUAAGUAACUAUGCACGUCUUGAGGGUACCUAAUCAGAAAGCCACGGCUAACUACGUG
rnacentral:rRNA from 1 species